UGGACUUGUUUGCUUCUGAAAUUACUUCUAACUGAAAUUCUAUGGUAAUUUUGAUCUUACUUUUUUUUUUUUUUUAACAGUGUGCUUUAAAAAAGCUGUCCUGGCUUUGUCUAUCUAUAUAUAUCAUCUUGCAGUGAUCUAUAAGGCAAGAUCAUUCUUAAAAAUGCUUCACAGAAACUGGGACUAGGAAUCUGAAUAUACCUUGUUUAUGUUUAUCUUAAAGGUAAAUAAAAAUACCAAACUGCAAUAAUGUGGGUCAUGUUUUGGAAAAUGAAAAGAAUUUUGAGAGUCUUAAAAUACUUCCUAACAAACAACACAUGUUCAGCCAGGUUGAGGCAUCCAGUUCCAGCUGUUUCUCCAGCAGACCUGUUUCCAUCAUUCUAGACAACUUUUUAAAAACACGAAUGGUUCUCCCAGUAAGACUAUUUUGUUUUAUUCUCUAAUGACUGUUUUGUGGUGCUCUAAGUGCUUGUGUUGAAUCUUUGAAUCCUGCUAUAAAGUUCUAUUGGGAUGUAUGUGAUUCUUUACCUUCAUGAAGACAUAAAGCAGUGAAUUCUCUUUGCUUUUGCUCAUCUAUUCCAAACCUGAACCUCCUCUGAAUUUCAUUUUCAGUUGCUAACUUAAUUCUGGCAUCGGUCAAAAUGAAUUUCUCUUCUCACUGAACCAAGGGUCUUUGGACCUCUCCAUCUCACAAAGUCGCCUGAAAUCUUAGACAUGUCUAUCAUGGGAUACUCCAUGACCAAAGAUCAGGACCAAACAAAUAGUAAAGAGUCAAAGGUGACUGGGGGCCUUGCCUAACUUAGGCCAAUUUUCAUUAGUUGGUUCAUGGGAGACACCAUGAUAUCAGGACAAAGAAGGGCCAAUCCUUCUUCACGUAUAAGUACAGUAACAUAAUGAUACCCAGGGAGUUGAAGCUAAGACAGACCAAGCUAGAAGCUCUUUCUUCUGCAAUUAGCUCACUUCUCUGCCACUGUCACAAUAUGAGAGUAUGAACAAGAAAACACAAAUUUAUUACAUUAUACUAAAACAUAAAAUCCUUUUCACUCUUGAGUCUUUUCAUGACUGAAGACAGGUAAGAAAUGUGUUAUCUCCAAGAGAUCUACAAUAUGAAUUCUUGAAAUUUCUGCAAGUUUUCAGAUCUCAGGGAACACAUUCCCUGGGAUAGUCUCAAUUCUCAAUGCACAACAACAAC
rnacentral:lncRNA from 1 species